CAGCCGUAAACUAUGCUCGCUAGGUGUCAGGCAUGGCGCGACCGUGUCUGGUGCCGCAGGGAAGCCGUGAAGCGAGCCACCUGGGAAGUACGGCCGCAAGGCUGAACUUAAGGAUUGGCGGGGGGAGCACAACAACGGGUGGAGCCUGCGGUUUAAUUGGACUCAACGCCGGACAACUCACCGGGGACGACAGCAAUAUGUAGGCCAGGCUGAAGACCUUGCCUGAAUCGCUGAGAGGAGGUGCAUGGCGUAGACGU
rnacentral:rRNA from 1 species